AGGAGCUGUGGUGUUUUCCCCAAAGAUCAGCACAUUGAGGAGGGAUCUAGCACUGAGAUAACCUGUCGGAGCAGCUGCGUCUCUGGAACAGUUUUCUGGACCCUUAAUAACAGACGCAUGAAUGACAGUCUAUCCCGCAGGAUCAACUCCACACACACAGUCCUCCUGCUGCCCCAUUCAGAGCUCCAGGACCCCUCCCACUCUUCACCUACGGUCCAGUGCCACAGUGAAGAGAACCAGCAGAUCCUAGGAGGGACCACCAUCAAAAUAUACACUAAACCUCAAAACUUGUCUUGCCUUUUCCAUUCAAAUUGGGAAAUGAAAGAGAACUUACCAAGGCUGUUCACAUGCAACUGGGAUCAUCAUAUUUAUAACCCACUGAAAGCGAUCACCUACUAUGUAAUAUGUGUGCGUUGUAAUAGUGUCUUAAAGGAAAUUUGCGUCUCUAAUGUGACAACCUGCACUAGAAACUCACUGCAUGUACCACAGAUAUCAUUUGUACAAAGUAACACCAUUUACGUAAAGGC
ensembl:lncRNA